UGCCAGCAUCCGCGGUACCACGUAGUGUGCAAUCGUUGUCCGGAUUUAUUGGGUUUAAAGGGUGCGCAGGCGGUUUGUUAAGUUUGUGGUGAAAGCGUCCCGCUUAACGGGAUACCCGCCAUGGAUACUGGCAGACUUGAGUAUGUCUGAGGGAAUUAGAAUGCGUGGUGUAGCGGUGAAAUGCAUAGAUAUCACGCAGAAUACCGAUUGCGAAGGCAGAUUUCUAAGACAUAACUGACGCUGAGGCACGGAAGCGUGGGGAGCGAACAGGAUUAGAUA
rnacentral:rRNA from 1 species